AUUGAACGCUGGCGGCAGGCCUAACACAUGCAAGUCGAGCGGAUGAGUGGAGCUUGCUCCAUGAUUCAGCGGCGGACGGGUGAGUAAUGCCUAGGAAUCUGCCUGGUAGUGGGGGACAACGUUUCGAAAGGAACGCUAAUACCGCAUACGUCCUACGGGAGAAGGUGGGGGAUCUUCGGACCUCACGCUAUCAGAUGAGCCUAGGUCGGAUUAGCUAGCUGGUGAGGUAAAGGCUCACCAAGGCGACGAUCCGUAACUGGGCUGAGAGGAUGGUCAGUCACACGGGAACUGAGACACGGUACAGAGUCCUACGGGAGGGAGCAGUGGUGAAUAUUGAACAAUGGGCGAAAGCCUGAUCCAGCCAUGCCGCGUGUGUGAAGAAGGUCGUCGGAUUGUAAAGCACUUUAAGGUGAGAGGAAGGGCAGUAAGUUAAUACCUUGCUGUUUUGACGUUACCAACAGAAUAAGCACCGGCUAACUUCGUGCCAGCAGCCGCCGCCGUAA
rnacentral:rRNA from 1 species